UGCAUUGCAAUUAAAUUUCUGAAAUUUAUUUAUAUUAAUUAUUCCAAAAAAUGAAAAGAAAUAAGGCAAAAGAAAAUAUAAAACUUAAAGAUAUUAAAUUAUAAUAAAAAUUCAUAAAAUAACUAAUCCAAUGUUUUAGCUAUUAAAUAUUUGAUUCAUUGACAAAAAAAUAAAUAUAUUUUUAAAGUUUCAUCUUUUAAAAUCUGGCAUCUAUUCUUAAAUAAUUGACCACCUUUAGAAAAUACUCUCUCAAUGGUAGCUGAGGACAGCAAUAUAUCAAUUAGAAGUUAACAUUUGUGCUUGAAUUGAUCUAAUAGGAAUUAUGCCAAAUAUUCAAAUUACUUUGAAUAAAAAUUAUUAAAUUGAUAGAAUUCACAUUACCAUAUGCAAAUAAGAUAAUAUUAAGUGGUAAUGGCUUGUGGUUCCCAAACAGUGUGUCUUGAGGCAAGUUCAAGUGUACCGCACGAUUUGUGACAACCAUACAUUACUUCCAAUAGCUUAUAAUAAUUCAAAUAAUUGGUUUGAUAAAAUAGGUGUGUCGAUAAAUUUUUAUUUGUCUUUUGGGAACAAACAGAUUGAGAACCACUCUCUUUGGUGAUAUGUAAUUACAAAAUUUGUUACACUACUAUCCAGUUACGCCUGAUAAUUAGUUUGAGUUAAUAUUAAUUAAUUAGUUUACUUUUUGUGUCAAAAAUUUCAAUGUAGAAAUGUUCUAUAACUUUAAGUAUUAGGCAACCCUGGUUUUAUGGUGAUUUGAUAAACAAAGGAAGACAUUCAAUUCUAUAAGAACAGGGUAGUUUGAUAACUUUACAUUUUAAAGUUAUUGGCAGUGUAACAUGUUUCCUCCGUAACAACUCUCCCCCCUCUCAUUAGGCAACAUUAUUAUUAAGGUUCCAAAAGUUUUGAAUUAUGUCCAAUAACAUUUUUUCUUCCUUUUAUUUCUAUAUUUGAUGUUUUCAUCAUGACGUGACACUUCGUUGUGUGAACAAGAGAAGCAAGAUAUGGGUUUUAAUACAAUUGUAAAUUAGAGUUUCAAAAAAUCCUGCCAAAAGAGAAAUCCAUGACAAAAGUGCCUUUCUCCCCAAGAAUUUACAUUUCGUAGGGAUCAGUCCUUAAAAAUGGUAACAAUUUCCAUAGAUUAUCUCAAAUGUGUGUUCUUGGACAUUUUUCUUAACAGAAUAAAAAGAAGACAAGUUGAGGCUCUUUAGUGAAGGGAAUCAUCUCAAGCAUGUUUUUAGAAAUUCAUUAUCUGGAAAAUGGCAUUACUUUGAGAACAAAUAGAUUUAUUGAGAAUCCAUGAAACUGUUCUGGGUAAUUUUGUCCCUAACAUUUUCGCCCGCUACAUUUUUUCAGCAUACAUUUUUUCCUGAAGGGCAUUUUGUCGCAUGAAAACUUCGUCGCUUUUUUAUAUUUAUUAAAGCGUGAAAGUAAAGUGGCGCUACAAGUACAUAAACUUCUCUUUUUUUUUUUUUGAAAAGAAGAAGAACCAAAUGUAGUUCUUUUACAGGCAAUAGAGGGUGUUUGAUGAAACAUCUGUUUCAAAAUAAUAGCAAAUAUCUUGUAUUAUUUAUAAAUCAUUUAUUAAAUGGAAUGAGUUCUAGAACUCAUCAUGAAUUUUGAGUCAUUGUGGACGUAAGUCUUGGUUCGUGAAUUCUAGAUUUGUAUUUGUUUGAUAGAACAAUGCUGUGUCAAGCUACUGCCAGAUUUCCCCAUUAUCUCUUCAUGGAGGAGUGUGUCUGUCCUUCAUUCAGAAGCAAGCACGUCACCAGUUUGUUUGGGAGGAGGGGCCCUUUGAUAUUCCUCCGGGCUUCUCGAACUCUAAUGUCUCCGACAAUGAAACCUUCUUUCCUUCAGAGCAGCGGAGCCUCCGAAAGAAGCUCGCCAAGCAGAGCUCCCUCCCUAAAAGGCAAAGGCCUCAUGACUCGGAGCAUGGACUACGGACACGGGCCCUCAAACAUCCCUUGGUGGACUACUCCACCCUUACCUGAAGUAGCCUUCACACCCAGACGGAGCUUUGCCUUCAAUAGGAAGAGCAUCUCCUCCUGGAUUGGAUGGACUCCCUCUUCAUGUCGGAGUUUCGGGGCGCUUUUCAUCAGCAUCGGAUCGACUGACAGAAGCAUCAGUCUAUCACAAUGAGAAACUCUGGGUUCAUCGAAUGGGACAGAUGCUCAACAUUGAAGCGUUCCUUUAAAACACGCAUCCUCGGCCAGCAUUACAGCAGUGCUGCCCAUCAUCACCAUCUAAGAAAGUGAAUAGUCAACUUUGAAGGUCAAUCAAAGGAGGAGCAAUCCCAGCUCUCUCUUUCGAUCCCUCCCCUCACACAUGCACACACAGAAUAACCUCCAUGUGAAGUAUGGACUCAAUUGAUUUUCUAGAGAUUGGUUAGGAUAUUACUCGUACCAUGAACUUCAAUGAAGAGAUAUGCCGUAAAAUACCCGGUGAAGGAGAAACCCACGAGUAUUAGCCUCUGGACAUCUUCGAAUCAUCGUUGAAGGCAUUUCAUCGAAACCACAUUGUCAUAAAUAUCUUUGGAAAUAACUCUUCUUCUAAAUUAUAAUAAACAAUAAUCCUUCGUACUUAUUAACAUACUUGAGAGAAUUUCUUUUUAUUUUCAUAUUAUUUAUAAAAAAAUAUGACAAUACAUAAUAACAAUUAUAAAAUAUAGAUAUAAUAAAUAUUUACAUAUAUCGUU
rnacentral:lncRNA from 1 species